GGUUUGAUUCUGGCUCAGGACGAACGCUGGCGGCGUGCCUAAUACAUGCAAGUAGAGCGCUGAAGAGAGGAGCUUGCUCUUCUUGGAUGAGUUGCGAACGGGUGAGUAACGCGUAGGUAACCUGCCUUGUAGCGGGGGAUAACUAUUGGAAACGAUAGCUAAUACCGCAUAACAAUGGAUGACCCAUGUCAUUUAUUUGAAAGGGGCAAAUGCUCCACUACAAGAUGGACCUGCGUUGUAUUAGCUAGUAGGUGAGGUAACGGCUCACCUAGGCGACGAUACAUAGCCGACCUGAGAGGGUGAUCGGCCACACUGGGACUGAGACACGGCCCAGACUCCUACGGGAGGCAGCAGUAGGGAAUCUUCGGCAAUGGGGGCAACCCUGACCGAGCAACGCCGCGUGAGUGAAGAAGGUUUUCGGAUCGUAAAGCUCUGUUGUAAGUCAAGAACGAGUGUGAGAGUGGAAAGUUCACACUGUGACGGUAGCUUACCAGAAAGGGACGGCUAACUACGUGCCAGCAGCCGCGGUAAUACGUAGGUCCCGAGCGUUGUCCGGAUUUAUUGGGCGUAAAGCGAGCGCAGGCGGUUUGAUAAGUCUGAAGUUAAAGGCUGUGGCUCAACCAUAGUUCGCUUUGGAAACUGUCAAACUUGAGUGCAGAAGGGGAGAGUGGAAUUCCAUGUGUAGCGGUGAAAUGCGUAGAUAUAUGGAGGAACACCGGUGGCGAAAGCGGCUCUCUGGUCUGUAACUGACGCUGAGGCUCGAAAGCGUGGGGAGCGAACAGGAUUAGAUACCCUGGUAGUCCACGCCGUAAACGAUGAGUGCUAGGUGUUGGAUCCUUUCCGGGAUUCAGUGCCGCAGCUAACGCAUUAAGCACUCCGCCUGGGGAGUACGACCGCAAGGUUGAAACUCAAAGGAAUUGACGGGGGCCCGCACAAGCGGUGGAGCAUGUGGUUUAAUUCGAAGCAACGCGAAGAACCUUACCAGGUCUUGACAUCCCGAUGCUAUUUCUAGAGAUAGAAAGUUACUUCGGUACAUCGGUGACAGGUGGUGCAUGGUUGUCGUCAGCUCGUGUCGUGAGAUGUUGGGUUAAGUCCCGCAACGAGCGCAGCCCCUAUUGUUAGUUGCCAUCAUUCAGUUGGGCACUCUAGCGAGACUGCCGGUAAUAAACCGGAGGAAGGUGGGGAUGACGUCAAAUCAUCAUGCCCCUUAUGACCUGGGCUACACACGUGCUACAAUGGUUGGUACAACGAGUUGCGAGUCGGUGACGGCAAGCUAAUCUCUUAAAGCCAAUCUCAGUUCGGAUUGUAGGCUGCAACUCGCCUACAUGAAGUCGGAAUCGCUAGUAAUCGCGGAUCAGCACGCCGCGGUGAAUACGUUCCCGGGCCUUGUACACACCGCCCGUCACACCACGAGAGUUUGUAACACCCGAAGUCGGUGAGGUAACCUUUUGGAGCCAGCCGCCUAAGGUGGGAUAGAUGAUUGGGGUGAAGUCGUAACAAGGUAUCC
rnacentral:rRNA from 1 species